UAUUUGUCUGUAAAAAUUGUAUA
rnacentral:piRNA from 1 species